GAAACGUCGCUAGUCCCGGAAACAGGGAAGGAUGAAGGUAAAAGAAUCCUCGCUAGUCCGCAAAAUUCAGAACGGUGGUUGCCUGCGGGGGAUGAAGAAUUGCCCUUGUGAGAUGAAAUGAAGGGUUCAAUGGAGAGCAGAGCACCUGGUGCAUCUCAGCUUACAGCGAGGAUGCCCCUCUGACCAUUCUUCACUAGUCACAUCUGCUUGGACUGCAGCUGGGGAAGCUUCUCCACUUCUAAGGAUUCAUGUACCCACCUGGAUAAUUCAGGAUAACCUCGCCAUCUCAAGGUUUCUAACCUUAAUCACAUCUGCUAAGCCCCUUCUUCCACAUAGCCAAGAAAGGUACAUCACUGCCACAUCACUCAUCCCUCUGAGCACUCCUGGCACGUGCUUACCUCAUUCCUCCCAGUGCGGAGGUCAUCGCCCUGAGAGAGACCCGUGCAGGUAAGCCUGCCCUUUCAGGUGUGUGCCCAGGACCUCCCAUGCCCACUGAUGCACCAUCUGUAAAUCAGGUGGGCUCAUCAGACCCUGUUCCUAUGUGCAGAGGGAGCUGCAAAAUGGAAUCGUGUUCCAGAACCUCCCAUUCAGAGCCCUCGGGUAGUUCAGCCUGCUUCUGGCUGCUAGAAUAUAUUCAUCUGAUGGAAUGGCACUGUCUUGGGGAUUCCUUUUAUUUUUCAAGGCCAAGCCAGUAUGAAGGAAGGAGCCUCCGUGCAGCCCUCAAUCAUUUUGUAUCUCUGAGCUUCAAUUUUCCCAUCUGUGAAAUGGGGACGGUAGUACGAGUUUGGUAGUAACAGCUGCCUUAGCCCAGAGCUAGGCACAGUGUCGGGACUUGAUAAAUGAUCCCUGUUGGUGUUACAAUGACCCUGAUACUGACGGUUUUCUGCAUAGCGCCUGCC